rnacentral:lncRNA from 10 species
GGUUUUGUGUUGUUUUAUAUAUUCUUUGUUAUUUUUUAUUCUAGUUUUUGUUUUUGUUUUGGAAGGUAUUUUAGAGAAAUAAGAUUUCUGUGGUUACCAUGACCUGCUGUUACAGAUUACAUGGUACCCUCUCUUCAUAUGUUGAAGUCCUAGCCACCCCGCCGAACCUCAGAAUGUGACUGUAUUUGGAGAUAGGGUCUUUACAGAGGAAAUCAAGUUAAAAUGAAGUCAUUAGGGCAGGCCCUAAUCCGAUAUGAUCCUGUGUUCUUAGAAGAGGAAAUGUGGACUCAGGUGUGUAUGGAGGGAAGAUGUCUUGCAAGCCCAAGGAGAAGAUGGCCAUCUGAGCCCACGUCCUGGAACAGAGACUUCCCUCACAGCCUCAGAAAGAACCAGCCCUGCUGACGUCUUGAUCUCAGACCUCCAGCCUCCAGAACUGGGAGACGAUUCAGUCAGCAUCUACACAACACAGGGUUGAACUGUGCGGGUCCACUUCUAUGCAGAUUAUUUUCUUUUUUCUUUUUUGAGACAGAGUCUCGCCCGGUUGCUCAGGCUGAAGUGUAGUGGUGUGAUCUUGGCUUACUGCAGCUUCCACCUCCCAGGUGCAAGUGAUUCUCCUGCCUCAGCUUCCCAAGUAGCUGGGACUAUGGGUACUCGCCACCACACCUGGCUAAUUUUUGUAUUUUUAGUAGAGAUGGGGUUUCACCAUGUUGGUCAGGCUGGUCUUGAACUCCUGACCCCAAGUGAUCUGCCUGCCUUGGCCUCCCAGAUUGCUGGGAUUACAGGUGUGAGCCACCGUGCCCGGCCCUAUAUAACUCUUUGUGCAAGUUUUUACCCCUAAAAGAUAUCUGCCAUCUCAGCCAUGGAACAGACACUGUAAGAACAUGAAGGCUCAAGGGCAGGGCUGGCUACAUAAUUUGUGGGACCCAUUACAAAAUGAACAUGGAGAAAAAACUAGAAAAAAGUGUAGUACAAGGUACUAUAAUAGAUUUUUCCUUUGAAAACAGUUUAAUACUUAUAAAAUGUAAUAGAGGGAAAUAGUGACACGUGAGUAACAAAAUGGGCGUAUCAAUUGGUCUAUGCUAUUUUUGGUGUUAUAAUUUUACCUAAUAUAAUAAGCAGCAACACUUUGUUAGUGAGACGGGCUUUCACCAUGUUGGCCAGGCUGGUCUGGAACUCCUGACCUCAGGUGAUCCGCCUGCCUCAGCCUUCCAAAGUGCUGGGAUUACAGGUGUGAGCCUCUGCGCCCGGCUGUGAUGUCUUGAUUGAUCAUAGGAUUUUUCUGGCUAUUCUAGCUACUUCCAAUUCGCUUCAGCCAAUUUAGUUGAAGUUUUAUCACUUGUGACUUCAGAGUCCUGGUUAAUAUCCUGUUGCCCUCAGGACAUGCAGGAUGGAGGAAGGCACCAGGGAGCCGAGGGAAGUGAGCAGAGAGGCAGUCACUUCAGGGCCACCAGCAUAGCCCCCGUCACUGUCCACAGACACAGGCCCUUCCCCUUCUCAUGGUUGAGCAGGCUCCACCUCACUUCCGUGUAUGACUUCAUAGACCGUUAGGUUCCGUGGUACCCUGGAGUCCACAGCUGCUGAAUCUGAAGGGCCAUCAGAAGACUGGCUUCUCCAUGAUGGUUUAUGGACUAAGGCAAAGAUGAGCAGAGCCAUGGCCCUCUUCUUUGUUCUCUGCUGGAUCCAAGAGUCGGGGGUCUCCCUAUGUUUCCCAGGCUGGCCUCGAACUCCUGACCUCAAGUGAUCCUCCCACCUCAGCCUCCCCGAGUGCUGGGAUUAAAGACGUGAGCCACGGCACCUGGCCUGAAUUUUCCUCAAAUUCAAAAAAUCCUGAUGAAGGUUUGGCUAAAAUCUUUGGUGAGUUACCCCACUCCCUGUGGAACCUCAGGCUGGAUUUGAAGAGUUGCGUGCAUGGUCCUCAUUGUCUCCCAGGUAACCUGUUCCCGCUGCUGUGAAGGGAAGGCAGGUGCUCUUCCUUGAGGCUAGAAUCUGUCUACGUGUCACAGUCUCAGGAAAUUAAGCAAAACAGAUGAUAAACACCUCAAAAGGACCCUACUGAGCAUCAGUGGAGCAGAGCAGGGCCAUGUGGGACUGCGGCGUCAGAUGCCACCUCACACUAGCUGUGACACACCUGCCUCGCCAGUUUCUGCUCUGAGGCCCCAAAGCCGAGCUGAACCUCCUCCAGGGGUUCUCAGCCCUAACUGAGCAUGAAAACCCCUGGGGCAAUCCUCUUUUUAACAAUUGAGACAUUCCACACACACCCCACAUCAGAUUUUGGGGUGUGGGGAUAGACCUUCACAUUUGUAGUUUUCUAACCCUCCAGGGGACACUAGGCUGAGACUCAUUGGUCUCCACUCUGAACCUUCCACUGAACAUGUGAGAAAAACUAAGGCCCAGGGAAGUCUUUAGCAGAGAGCUGAGACGGAGAAAAGGGUUCUGAACCACAGCUGUCUGCUGAAGGAAGCUGUCCAAAGGCCAGUGAAGUCUCUCCUGAGGGUGCCUGGGCUGUGCAUCAGGAGUGAAGGUUGAGGGUCACCUUAGGUGUGAGAAGGAGCAACUGGGAGAGUGGCGCUGAUGCUUCCCCCCGGGUUAGGAGGCAUUUGGAUCACAGAGCGAUGCCUGUUCAUUCCUGCUUGCAAGGGAGCAGAUCUCUCGACACCCGAUGGGCCUCUAUUCCGUUCCGGCAGCUGUCCGUGUCAGGAGCGCUGGGCUUGCUCCUCCCCACGGGAGCCAUCACAGAGGCCUCGGGCAGUCUGCAUAGACAACUGCCUGGCAGGUGACCAGGAGGGGAUGCAUGAGCAGAUGCAGGUAGCACUCGCAGUCCCCCUAGCUGUGCCCUCAGCACCUGCUGUCUAGGAGGCAGAAGCCUUGUUCUCGGCCUUGCAGGUGACCCCAGUGUCUCUGAAUUCGGCCCCAUAUGUGUAGGAGGGGAGUGAUUGCAUCUGAAGAUGGGAGUCUGGUUGGGGGUUUGGGAAGCUCCCAUCACCCCUCAAGAGUCCACUGACCAGCCCAGCUCACACCAGGUGGGCCUUGGCACUGGAGGCCACGGCUCAACUCUGCAGUUCCCUCUGGGCAGCAUUUCCAGGGACUCGUAGGUCAGCAUGGUCAUCAAGGACAGGUGGUGAGAGCAGCUCCUCAUUGUCCUGGUGACCCCGAUGGUUCAUUUUCUGGUGUCUCUGUGGUGAGCUCCUGUUACAUCAAGCGAGUGGAAACCACCGAGGACCAACAGCCCUGGAAAUGCACUGAGAAUGCAGGAUGAGUGGGCUUUGUGAGGACUGUUUUCUGUGACUUAGCAAGGAAAGCCUGGAAGGGAAAGUAAAACUGCUUCUUCCCAGGGAAGCCAGAAACCUGAGAACUUAAAAGGGAAGGAGAACUUAAUAUAUUUCAAAAAUGUAACCCUUGUGAAUUAGCAACAGCUUUAUAAACAAAGAGAUUUCCGAGCUUAUAGAAUCUAUUCUGCUUUGUUUCUGCCCCCAUGGCUCCUACCCCUGUUUUUGUGGGUACAAUUUUCAUAUAGAACAUUUUUACACAAGCUUCAAAACUCUCUGAGGACAGCUUUCCCCUUUGUGUCUGUCGGGUCCCAGGCAGUCACAUCCCAGGAAGUGCUGGGGUUGGGCUCCUUGCUCCACAUCCUUCUUCAGUGGCACGAAGCGUGGGGUGGAGUGUGUGAGUCAUGUGUGAUCUUGGUGUGGGCUAUGGCUGGUCUGCAGCACCCCUUCAAUGACUGCUUCAAGGGCUUUUCAUGAUGCUUGUAGCUCAUGAGCUAGUGUUUCCUAGAUGCUGUUUCCAGGUGUCUUGCAUGUCACACACUGGCCUACCAGGGCUGGAGUGAGAUCAUGAGCGCCAGAUUGUUGGUGAAGGAAGUUGACAGAGACAUCGAAUGUCGGUGAACAGGAGUGACCUUGGGUCUCAAUAAAUACUGUGGUCAACUGAAUCCAGAACCCACCCUUACCAGCAGGGCCCACUUCUUCCCCAGCAGGCCGAGCUCUUCCCCUCCUGUCUUCCCUGGCCCUUGCUUUGUAGCUCUGUGUGGCUGUGUCAUGUCUGGUUGUAUCUGUAUAUACUUCUGCCUCUCCCGCUAUCUAGAUGGCUCGGGGAGGCACACCACACACCAGGUCACCUUCCUCUCUGAACCCCCAGCACCUCAUACUGUUUCUGUGCAGAGAUAAGGCUGGGUGAAAGCUUGUGUGAAUGAUCUGAAGUCUUCUACUCUAGGCCAGUCUCCAGGAGCAUUAUGAUCUUUAGGAGGGUGGGCUUGGUUCCUCUGUACAAUAAUGGGUCAUAAAACUGAGUGGUCAAGAUCAUCCCGGUGAGGGCAGUCCGUGUGUUGCCAUAGUUGCUGUACCGGUUAAGAAUGCACCUGGCUGCAAUUUCCUGAAAACCUGACGUAUAGUGGCUUAAACAAAGAGUGGUUUAUUUUCCUUCUGUCAUAGCAAUCUGGGGGAGGCCACUGUGGCUUUGGCGCAGGAGGUCGGGAAAGGCCCGCUUCUCUGAUAUCAUUGGGGGCCUCCCCAGUGCUUGUGUGGCAGAAUGACAAGAGGAAGAAGAAGGAGAAUUAUGGCACUGAGUAUCAUGAGAUUUGGGGUCAUAUAUCUUUAGUGGGCGGUGUUUGCUGCCCCAAAUGUCUCAUGCCAUUAAAAUGUUCUGGAAAUGAUUUAGGUAGUUGGAGUUUCCUUCCCAAAGACAAGGCAUUUACAGCAUGAUGUCCAAUAUCCAUUGAGUUUGUGUCAUGCAUUCAUUGUAUUCAUAGUCUGCUUUAGGUACUUAGCAAAAUAUUGCUGAUAUUAACAUGCCUUUGUUUGCUUCACUGGAGAUGAAAUUGUGCUCCAAGUGUUUUCCAAGGUUCCGUAUGACCCAUCAUUUGAUGAAACAAGAACAGCAGUCAGAUCCAUUACAAAGAGAGACACACAAAAAAACUAUGUGAAAAUGAGCUUAGCCCCUGGUGUUGUGUUGGAACUUCAGAUGCUUGCAGACACUUCAUGAAUGCUCUGUGACACUCAGAAUAGGCUAUUCCCAACAGAAGAGCUUGAACAAUGCUGCAUUUGCAUCAGGUUCAAAUGAGCGAGAGGAACAUUUGGCUAAAAUAUUUGAUGAAAUUCUACUGCAGGUGUUUCCAAAGUUUCCGUAUGACCCAUCAUUUAACGAAGCAACAGCAGUCAGAUCCAUUACAAAGACAGACAUGAGAAAAGGAACCAGCAUUGCUUGGAAUUCUCCUAAACCAGAAUAUUUCCUUGGCAGUGUGGACAAAAUUCCUGAUAAAGAUCACCUUUCAGAGGAGAAGAAUUUUAAAGAAUCCUGUCUGUUCGACAGGGAUUUAAGAGAGCAGUUAACUACUAUAGAUAAAGAAACACUUCAAGGAGCAGCUAAACCAGAUCUCCUCUGGCAAACACGACAUAUAAUAUUUUUAUAAUGGAUGGAAAGACAUGGUGGCACAAUUCUGAAGAAAAAAAUUUCACAAAACUUGCAAAAAAACAGAAACAGUUGAAGAGCAGCUCCUGUGUCUAAGCCAGGUCGUGGGGCCGUCAAACCAGGACUUGAAACCACAAUGCGAGGACAUUCUCCAUCUGCGCACCACAGGGAGGCAAUUCCAUUUCUGCCCGGGAGGUGUAUUCUACAAAAACGUCUGCUUCCCAUCCCAAUUUGAAUGGACCAAGAAAAACUGCUUUACCAUAGGACACUUGUGGCAAUAUGGCACCGAUGGCUGGCGUCGGUGAACCCGACAGACUAUGGAUUUAUCAUUUAAUAAAGCAUUGAUUCAUUUUUUCAGUCAUUCAUUGAACAGAUAUUAAUAGACCACCUCACAUGCUGACAAUAUCAAAAUACAAUGAGGAAACUAACAGUGACCCAGGCAUGCAUUCUUCCCCGAGCAAGAUCACAGUCCAUGGUGUGAGCACAACCAUACUAAAUAGCUUUUAUGGGAGGUGGGAGUACAGAAAGUAUUAUAUCUGCAAAGAAACUGCUAAGAAUUGUGGGAGCGCCCCAGGAGGUGAUUUCCUGCUUGCGUGACCAGCACAAAGAAAUGGGGUAAUUGAGAGUGUCAUGAAGUGGGGUUAUUUAUUUAUUGAGUC